UGCUUUAGUGUUUGGAUUAGUGGCGUGAAUAACAAAAAGUGCAGAACGUGAAUGACAGUUAAAGAGAUAAACAGAAGUAAAAAUCACACCAAGAUUUUUACGUGGUUCAACCCCUAUCCUCUACCUAGUGGCGUAAUCCACGUCCAAUCCCAACUAGGAUUGGAGACUCUUUUUAUUAAACUUAAUUUUCAAUUAAAUACAAUAAUAAGAACUCCCUGUUACAAAGAAGUUUUCCACUGAUGGACAGCUCUCCCCCC
rnacentral:lncRNA from 1 species